AGCUCCAAUAGCGUAUAUUAAAGUUGUUGCGGUUAAAAAGCUCGUAGUUGGAUUUCUGCCGAGGACGACCGGUCCGCCCUCCGGGUGAGCAUCUGGUUCGGCCUUGACAUCUUCUUGGUGAACGUAGCUGCACUUGACUGUGUGGUGCGGUACCCAGGACUUUUACUUUGAGGAAAUUAGAGUGUUUCAAGCAGGCAUACGCCUUGAAUACAUUAGCAUGGAAUAAUAAGAUAGGACCUUGGUUCUAUUUUGUUGGUUUCUAGAGCUGAGGUAAUGAUUGAGAGGGACUGCCGGGGGCAUUCGUAUUACGGUGUUAGAGGUGAAAUUCUUGGAUCGCCGUAAGACGAACGAGAGCGAAAGCAUUUGCCAAGAAUGUUUUCA
rnacentral:rRNA from 1 species